GUCCGAUAUCACUCGACGUGAUGAAAUCUCCGGUGAGUUUAUGCACCGGAGUUACUUAUGACCGGAGUAGCAUCCAGCGGUGGCUUGACAGCGGUAAUAAUACAUGUCCGGCCACCAUGCAAGUGCUACAAACUAAGGACCUUGUACCUAACUAUACACUACAACGACUCAUCCAGAUCUGGUCUGAGUCGGUCCGGGCUCAGCGUUCCGAUACGGAGUCUAACCGAGUUAACUCAGUUAGUCACGAUCAAGUUCGUGAGCUAAUUAAACAGUUUGUAAACGAAUUCCG
rnacentral:misc_RNA from 1 species